UCUCACCUGGGGUUCAAAUACCUUGUCAUGUCCAUAGGAAGAAGCCAUUAUAAAUGCUUUUGGAGUUUUGGGGAUGAUCAAAGGGCCGGCAGACACUCUUUCAUGCCUUUGCUUCAAGAUUGCAUACACCAUUAACAGUGGGACUGACAUGCUAUAAAUUGGGAAGUGGACAAAUGGGUUCAUCUCAUAUGCUUUGGAAAGAGCUCGGCAACUCUGCAUAGAUAAAGUAAAUAUGGAUCUAGUAAGUAAGCCAACCCCAAUAGAUACUACUAUUUCCUAAACUGCAAAAAAAGAAGGCAAGAAGAAGAGAACACCUAUGUUAUCAGCUAUAGUUUCUUGUGUUAUCCAAAA